rnacentral:rRNA from 1 species
UACGGGGGGGGCAAGCGUUGUCCGGAUUUACUGGGCGUAAAGAGCUCGUAGGUGGUUUGUCGCGUUGUUCGUGAAAUCUCACGGCUUAACUGUGAGCGUGCGGGCGAUACGGGCAGACUGGAGUACUGCAGGGGAGACUGGAAUUCCUGGUGUAGCGGUGGAAUGCGCAGAUAUCGGGAGGAACACCAAUGGCGAAGGCAGCUUGCUGGGACGGUACUGACGCUGAGGCGCGAAAGCGUGGGGAGCAAACAGGG